UGGCCAGUGAUGAAAUAACUAAAAACAAAUGUUGGAAUUACCGUCUGAUAUUUACAUUGAUGUUAUACUCUUUCUGAGGCUGCUU
rnacentral:snoRNA from 1 species